rnacentral:rRNA from 1 species
CUCUGCGCAAGGGAUCUUUUGGUUCGCUAGACGAAGAAGGGCGCAGCGGAAUGCGAAAUGUGCAGGAGUCGCAGCGAAGAUAGCACAUGCCUGAAAUCACGAGAGUGUGAGACUACCCCUUUGAGUUAAGCAUAUGAGUAAAGGGAGGAAAAGAAACUAACAAGGAUUCCUUAGUAGCGGCGAGCGAAGAAGGAACAGCCCCGAGUGUAAUCACAAAUAUGUGAGAUGUCAUUAAUCU